ACCACUGUUUCUGGGCCCAGUUCAGCACUAGGACUUAAGAGUUGUAGUCCCUGUGGCCUAGACUGCCUAUCAAGUUUGCUUUGAAAUCCAGAGCACUUUGGCCCUGGGUGGCAAGGUCUGCACGAACUCAAGUUCCACCCAUUGGGAUACAAGAUUCCCCUCUGGCUAGGACUGGUUUAAAUGCUCCCUCUGUGGGUGGGUGUCAGCUGAGUUUUAUUCUAUAGGGACAGCACUGAUUUUAUGUAACAUUUUUUCAAUAAAUGUUAAUUAUAUAAUAUUAUAUAUAAUAAAUUGCUAAUGGUAUUACCUGGAUAUGUUAUGCCUGUGUAAAACUUUUAAUGUAUAUUUAAAGCGAUAUUUAUUUUAAAAUGUAUUAUACAAAUAUGUUUCCUGGAACAUUGUUUAAUGCCACAAAAUGGGAAACAAUUAAAAUGCACAUCAAAUAUGAGAUUGGUUAAAUAAAUGAAAACAUAUACUUAAGCGGUGAAGUGACAGCAUCUGAUGGAGAGCAGUGGGCUCUAUCACAUGUGAGCAGAGGUGCUGAAAGAGGACAACAGUGACAGGAGCUGAACCCAGGGACUGUUCUUAUUUCAGAACCUAUCCCACUUGUCAGCUCUGUUCCAGUCUGGCUCCUUGCUUUAAGGUCUCCUUCCCCUAACCUUUCCUUUUCUCUCCCUUUCUCUCUCUCUUCCUUCCUGUUUGAAUCUUACAGGGGUACCAAAAAAGCCUAUGAACUUAAAAGGGA
rnacentral:lncRNA from 10 species